CUCCAUCAUCGGCCAAAUUUUAAAACUUUGUGAAAAAAUGAGUAAAUUUUAUUAAUGAGAAUAAUGGGAACGUUUAAUGGGUAAAAUAUUGUAAUUUAUCUUUCUUUUGGUUGGCACUUUAUUUAUGGGCAAAAAUGUAUAUUUUGUAAUAUAUUUCUCUUCUUAAAAAAAUGAAUGUAACUUUUGGUAACAGAGUGAAAUUUAUGAUUUAAUUUGAUUUUAAAUUUUCAACAAUUGAAAAUCGACUCGUAAUUUUCUUGUUUUUUCAAAAAUUGCUCAGCUCCUCUCUCUCCACUCAACUCUCUCUCUCUCUCUCCUUGCUCUCUCUACUACUCUUCCUCCUGUCACCACGAAAUCUGAUCGAAUUCUCAUCUCAGCCAUUACCAUUCCCAUCUAGGUCGAGGAAGCUCACGGCCUUGCUGCUUGGGAGAGGAACAACCACAGGGACGAUGACUUGAUGACACCUAGGUGCCUUCCGAGGAGGGGGAGACCCUCGAGCCGUGAGAGAAACGAGGUCCCCACGUGAAGAACACGAGAAGCGACGGUGAGGUUGCCGAGGAUGGCCUGGGCUACCACUGUGGCGUCAGAACCCGAUAAGGUUGUCCUAGUCAUCGAGGGUCUAUCAGAGGAGGCGGAAGGAGAUCUUGGCUCUCCCAAUUUUAGGGUUUCGUCAAAUCGAAAUUCGAGGUGAAAUUUCGUUUGAUUUCUUGCUCGAGGUUUGUCAAAUCGAGAUUUGAGACUCGUCGUGACUCAGAGAACUAUUACUGUGAGUUGUAAUUGGCUUGUUGUGCGUGGAACGGCCAUGGGAGUGAGGUGGUUAGUUAGAGAAAAGGGAAGAAGGAUAUGAAAAAUACGAUGAAUACCGAAAUAGAAGGGGUGGGGCAAAAUUUAAAAAAUUUGAGUCGUUUUGAAAUUUUAAAAUUUUUUCAGUUAAGUUAAAGAAAGGGUAACUUCGUUACCAAAUCGGAACAGAAAGUAAGAUCAACUACGCUCGCUUCUGAAUUUAUAUAGUAUAGAUAGUAUACCCUCACCACACUCAACUUCGGUUUUCCGGACGGGCGGCCUAGGCCCAAACGAUACGAACAGGCUACUAAAUAAACCAUUUGUGGGCCAUGAGUUGGCAGACAUGGGCCAUGGGCCCAUCGCCCAUGAAAGAAAUUGAACUAAUUGGAGUCAAAUGCAAAAUUUAUCGCGCGAAGCAAAGAAACUAUUAAAACACUUGCGAAGCUGCCGCCUCUAUUCCCAUGACGUUAUGGGAUCACCUGCGGGAGAUCGGCGGUCUGUAGAGGCAAUCGGCAGCGAUCACCGGCGGUAGAAACUGCUGUAAGUAGCCUCGCAGAUCGCCUAUGCUUACAUACUACGUGAAGCCCGAGGAGGAGCCGCUUUGGGAGUUCACUGAUGCGGUUGACGGUCCGGACGGCAAUGAGAUGAUUCCAGCUAUCGCCGGAAGACAAUCUGAGAAUAGCGACGACGAACUUCUACACUGAGCUUUCUCCGUUGGGGGAUUGUGCGGACUCUUUCAUUCUACCAAAAUGGAUCAAAACAUUACAGGACAAGAAGGAAGAUUUUUUCUAUUAGUGCUACGUAAAAUUGGAAAUCCGAUGUCUCUUUUGUAUAGGUCCACCAUGCCUGGGAUAUCAUGACAAUACCCUGGGCUGCUCAGCCUAGAAGAAAGUCGAACUUGAUUAGUAGAUACUUUUCUUGAUAGUGUGUUCAAUUACAAAGUUGAGCUCUCCACAUUGCCACAGCCAUCAACUUGCAGGGUUGCAGCUUGAUCAAUUUAUAUACUUUAUGUCUCUGUGGUGAUCUCACAAAGCUCUAAUGGGAUCUGGAUCAUGUCCUCAGAGCCAGAACUAUACUAAAGUCGUUAAGGACCAAACAGAUUCUUGUGCCACUCUCAUCCAAGAAGCUAACAUACAUAAAACUAGGACUCGAGCUGAUGGACAGCUUCCUACCACAUACACGAGAUGCUGAUUAUGGGAAGCAUUGAGAGGACUAGAAUAUAGAAGCUUGGAGCACAUCUGAAUCAAACUUCAUGGAGAGCAUUUCAGCCGACAAUGGCAUAUGAGGAGGGAUCUUUAGAGUCCCAUUUUUUCCACUUCUGAGAAGGAACAGUUUGGAUUCUUUCACCUGUUAGUGUAGGAAAAUCAGUAGUGGAGGAGAACUAAGGGGCAACCAAAUGGAGCCAACCUUGUGGACUCUAUUAAUUUGUCUUCUCUU